AAAUUUUAAUUAAAAAAAAAUAUUUCUUUGGUAAUCAUAAAGAUUUUGUGUAGGUAAAUUAAAAGAAUUUUUAAAAUAUAUACAAAAAAACAAUGAAAGGCAAGUUGAAUAUUGUCGAUUUCUGGUCAAAAUGAUUCUUCAAUCAAAAGGAAGCGUUAAAAGUUUUAAAAAAUACCAUCUUUUGGAACUUUUAUACAAUAGAGAAAUGAACAGAGAUAUAUUUUGGAAUCUCUUGUUCUGUUUAAGGAAAUAUUAUCUUACUCAAUGGACCGUCUCGCCAAUUUUUGCUAAAUUCGAAGCAAGAUUUUGAAGACUGAAGACUUUGAAGACUGGCAGCAGUGGAUUGAAUGGCUUGAGAAAUGCAUUGACUUGAAUUAUGUAGAGCAGAAAGAAAACGACAAAGAUUACGAAUAAAUACAAAAAGAAGUUUUUUCGUUA